GAAAUGCGAAAAGUAAUGUGAAUUGCAGAAUUCAGUGAAUCAUCGAAUCUUUGAACGCACAUUGCGCCCGCUGGUACUCCGGCGGGCACGCCUGUCCGAGCGUCAUUUCAACCCUCAAGCCCUCCUUCGGGAUGGGCCUGGUGUUGGGGCUCGGCCGCCAUCUCCGGCGGCCGUCCCCUAAAUACAGUGGCGGUCACGUCGCGACUCCUUUGCGUAGUAGAAACACCUCGCUCCGGAUAGCAACGCGGUCCACGCCGUAAAACCCCCAAUUUUCAAUGGUUGACCUCGGAUCAGGUGGGAAUACCCGCUGAACUUAA
rnacentral:misc_RNA from 1 species